GGAAGCGCUCGAGGUCUGGUGACCUCCGCGGUCUUCAAAACCGUACGUGGCGGCAGGCUUGACCGAACCGCCAGGUGGGUUCGAUUCCCAUGCGCUUCCGCCA
rnacentral:tRNA from 1 species